UACGGAGGGUGCGAGCGUUGUCCGGAUUUAUUGGGUUUAAAGGGUGCGUAGGUGGCUUUGUAAGUCAGUGGUGAAAUGCGGUCGCUCAACGAUCGAACUGCCAUUGAUACUGCGGGGCUUGAGACAAGUGGAGGUUGCCGGAACGGAUGGUGUAGCGGUGAAAUGCAUAGAUAUCAUCCAGAACACCGAUUGCGAAGGCAGGUGACUACGUUUGAUCUGACACUGAGGCACGAAAGCAUGGGGAGCAAACAGG
rnacentral:rRNA from 1 species